rnacentral:rRNA from 2 species
ACGGGAGGCAGCAGUAGGGAAUACUAGGCAAUGGGGGCAACCCUGACCUGGCGACGCCGCGUGAAGGAUGAAGGUUUUCGGAUUGUAAACUUCUUUUAAGAGGGACGAUAGUGACGGUACCUCUUGAAUAAGCCACGGCUAACUACGUGCCAGCAGCCGCGGUAAUACGUAGGUGGCAAGCGUUGUCCGGAUUUACUGGGUGUAAAGGGCGAGUAGGCGGGAUUGCAAGUCAGAUGUGAAAUACCGAGGCUUAACUUCGGCACUGCAUUUGAAACUGUAAUUCUUGAGUGAUGGAGAGGCAGGCGGAAUUCCCGGUGUAGCGGUGAAAUGCAUAGAGAUCGGGAGGAACACCAGUGGCGAAGGCGGCCUGCUGGACAUUAACUGACGCUGAGGAGCGAAAGUGUGGGGAGCAAACAGGAUUAGAUACCCUGGUA